rnacentral:rRNA from 1 species
UACGGAGGGUGCAAGCGUUAUCCGGAUUCACUGGGUUUAAAGGGUGCGUAGGCGGGUUUGUAAGUCCGUGGUGAAAUCCCCAAGCUUAACUUGGGAACUGCCGUGGAUACUAUCAAUCUUGAAUAUCGUGGAGGUAAGCGGAAUAUGUCAUGUAGCGGUGAAAUGCUUAGAUAUGACAUAGAACACCAAUUGCGUAGGCAGCUUACUACACGAUCAUUGACGCUGAGGCACGAAAGCGUGGGGAGCAAACAGG